rnacentral:rRNA from 1 species
UACGUAGGGUGCGAGCGUUGUCCGGAAUUACUGGGCGUAAAGAGCUCGUAGGUGGUUUGUCGCGUUGUUCGUGAAAUUCCCUGGCUUAACUGGGGGCGUGCGGGCGAUACGGGCAGACUGGAGUACUGCAGGGGAGACUGGAAUUCCUGGUGUAGCGGUGGAAUGCGCAGAUAUCAGGAGGAACACCGGUGGCGAAGGCGGGUCUCUGGGCCGAUGACUGACGCUGAGGAGCGAAAGCGUGGGGAGCGAACAGG